rnacentral:lncRNA from 1 species
CGGAGCGCCACUGGCCGCGGGCGGCGAGGUCGUGGAGGGAGUCCACCUCGUAGCAGAGGUCGUCCGAUGGGGAAGGAGCGGAGGCGGCGGGGGAGAGGAGAGGGUCCGAGACGGCUGGAGUUGGUUGGGUCGCCGGAGGAGCCUCACCUCCGCCGCUGGCGUCGGGUUCUUGAUCCAUGACCGCGACGGAUUCUGGAGAAAGGGAUCGAGAGAAACCGGAGAGCAACUGAGAGGAAGAAGGAUUUG